rnacentral:rRNA from 1 species
AGUGAACGCUGGCGGUAGGCCUAACACAUGCAAGUCGAACGGCAGCACAGUAAGAGCUUGCUCUUACGGGUGGCGAGUGGCGGACGGGUGAGGAAUACAUCGGAAUCUACUUUUUCGUGGGGGAUAACGUAGGGAAACUUACGCUAAUACCGCAUACGACCUACGGGUGAAAGCAGGGGAUCUUCGGACCUUGCGCGAUUGAAUGAGCCGAUGUCGGAUUAGCUAGUUGGCGGGGUAAAGGCCCACCAAGGCGGCGAUCCGUAGCUGGUCUGAGAGGAUGAUCAGCCACACUAGAACUGAGACACGGUCCAGACUCCUACGGGAGGCAGCAGUGGGGAAUAUUGGACAAUGGGCGCAAGCCUGAUCCAGCCAUACCGCGUGGGUGAAGGAGGCCUUCGGGUUGUAAAGCCCUUUUGUUGGGAAAGAAAAGCAGCAGGUUAAUACCCCGCUGUUCUGACGGUACCCAAAGAAUAAGCACCGGCUAACUUCGUG